UGGUCAGCAGGCAGAAACCAGGGCACGGCGGUAGCUGAGGAGCCUUCGUAGACGGCCGGACCGUCGUCGUAGUCGUCGUCGGUACCUCCUGAAGCAGAUUGCUCCAGAGGCGCUUUAUCAAACGACGUAGAUAGAGAGAAAUCAAUCGAGCUGUAUCCUCAAGAAUAUGCCAGGAUUCAGAGGAUCGAACAAUUCUCAAGUAGCUGUUCGUUGAUGCAGCAAACAGUGAAGAGGGAGUCGUCGGUCGGACAGUCGGCGUCACUGUCGACGCUCUCGCAGAAGAGC